AGAGUUUGAUCCUGGCUCAGAAUCAACGCUGGCGGCGUGCCUAACACACGCAAGUCGAACGCGAAAGUCCCGCAAGGGAUAAGUAGAGUGGCAAACGGGUGAGUAACACGUGGGUGACCUGCCUUCGAGCGGGGGAUAACGUCCCGAAAGGGACGCUAAUACCGCAUGACAUCCUGCCUUUGAAGAGGUGGAGAUCAAAGCUGGGGAUCGCAAGACCUAGCACUCGAAGAGGGGCCCGCGCCUGAUUAGCUAGUUGGUGGGGUAACGGCUCACCAAGGCAACGAUCAGUAGCCGGCCUGAGAGGGCGGACGGCCACACUGGGACUGAGACACGGCCCAGACUCCUACGGGAGGCAGCAGUGGGGAAUUGUUCGCAAUGGGCGCAAGCCUGACGACGCAACGCCGCGUGGAGGACGAAGACCUUCGGGUCGUAAACUCCUUUCGAUCGAGACGAACGGCCUCCGGGUGAACAAUCCGGAGGAGUGACGGUACCGAGAGAAGAAGCCCCGGCUAACUCCGUGCCAGCAGCCGCGGUAAUACGGGGGGGGCAAGCGUUGUUCGGAAUUACUGGGCGUAAAGGGCUCGUAGGCGGCCAACUAAGUCAGACGUGAAAUCCCUCGGCUUAACCGGGGAACUGCGUCUGAUACUGGAUGGCUUGAGAUUGGGAGAGGGAUGCGGAAUUCCAGGUGUAGCGGUGAAAUGCGUAGAUAUCUGGAGGAACACCGGUGGCGAAGGCGGCAUCCUGGACCAACACUGACGCUGAGGAGCGA
rnacentral:rRNA from 1 species